GGACUACAAGGGUUUCUAAUCCUGUUUGCUCCCCUUGCUUUCGCGCCUCAGCGUCAGUUACAGCCCAGAAAACCGUCUUCACCACUGGUGUUCUUCCACAUAUCUACGCAUUUCACCGCUACACGUGGAAUUCCGUUUUCCCUAACUGCACUCUAGUUGGAUAGUUUCAAAUGCCGCUCCGGGGUUGAGCCCCGGAAUUUCACAUCCGACUUAUCCUACCGCCUACGCGCCCUUUACGCCCAGUAAUUCCGAUCAAUGCUUGCACCCUCCGUAUUACCGCGGCUGCUGGCAC
rnacentral:rRNA from 1 species